rnacentral:rRNA from 1 species
GGACUACCCGGGUAUCUAAUCCUGUUUGCUCCCCACGCUUUCGCACCUCAGCGUCAGUAAUGGUCCAGUGAGCCGCCUUCGCCACUGGUGUUCCUGCGAAUAUCUACGAAUUUCACCUCUACACUCGCAAUUCCACUCACCUCUACCAUACUCAAGACUUCCAGUAUCAAAGGCAGUUCCAGGGUUGAGCCCUGGGAUUUCACCUCUGACUUAAAAGCCCGCCUACGUGCGCUUUACGCCCAGUAAAUCCGAACAACGCUAGCCCCCUUCGUAUUACCGCGGCUGCUGGCAC